rnacentral:lncRNA from 1 species
CAGACUGUGCUGAAGCUUCAUGAGACCUCUCCUCGUCUGUGCACGAAAGAGGAGCCGGACACAGAGUGUCCAGCCGACUCUGGAGCCCAGGCUGUUGCUUCCCGGUCUGGUGGUGAGUCCUCCAUUGUCUGAUGUGGGUAAGUCCAAGACCAAGGAGCCAGCAGAUUCAGAGUCCAGGGAGGGCUGUUCCUGAUUUGCAGAUGGCGCCUUCUCUUUAUGUCUUCACAAGAUUGUGAAGCCUGUAGCUUGGAAGAUACAGGACAUAGGUGAAAGUGUUUGUACCAUUCAUUUAAAGGCAUAAAUGUCCAAUGGGGCCAUCUUGUGAUACAUGCACUGUCACAGGAAAAGUUUCCAGGAAAAGUCAAGCCAGGGCUUCACAGAAGAUCAAAAGAAAGAGACAAGGAGAAGCUAAGUGUAUUAGUCAGGAUUCUCUAAGGGACAGAACUAAUAGAAUAUAUAUACACACACAAACACACACACACACACAUAUAUAUACAUAUAAAUAAAAGGGAGUUUAUUAAGGAGUAUUAACUCACACAAUCACAAGGUCCCACAACAGGCCGGGCCAUCUGUAAGCUGAGGAACAAGGAAGCCAGUCUGAAUCCCAAAGAUGACAAACUUGGAGUUCAAUGUUCAAGGGCAGGAAGCAUCCAGCACAGGAGAUAGAUGUAGGCUGGGAGGCUAAGCCAGUCAAGACUUUUCACGUUUUUCUGCCUGUUUCAUAUCCUAGCUGCAAUGGCAGCUGAUUAGAUGGUGCCCACCCAGAUUAAGGGUGGGUCUGCCUUUCCCAGCACACUGACUCAAAUGUUUAUCUCCUUUGGCAACACCCUCACAGACACACUCAGGAUUAAUAUUUUGCUUCCUUCCAUCCAAUCAAGUUGACACUCAGUAUUAACCAUCACACUAAGCUUGUUAUUUUAUAGAAAUGCUUGAAAACCAGAGAUAAAUGCAGCUACAAAUGAACGAUGACUCUGCGUUUUCCUUGUAUAUAUAAAGAUCAACAAUAACACUUAGGUCAUGAAACCCACCUACUUUACAGAUCAUUAUGGAAAUAAUACACUGCUUCAGCAAUGGAGAAACAAUCAUCCAUAUUUAUGCAAGAACUAAAUUCAAGUUUGAAAGCUUGCUUUGAGCUUGAAGAUAUAAAACAUGAUUCUGUGACAGUAAACAAUGUAUAACAAAUCUUACAGAAAUUUAUGUGAUUACUAAAAAAAAAUCAAUUCAUCAAUUCAAUAAACUGAGUACCGUAUUACUUUUCUAUUGCUUCUUUACCAAAUAAAUACAAGCUUUGCAGUUUAAAACAACAGAAAUUUAAUUUUUUAUAGUUCUGAGGGUCAGUAACCUAAAACUGAUCUUAUGAAAUAAAGUUAAAUCUUGGGGAUAUGGGUGUGGACAGGGCUGGUUUCUUCUGGGGCUCUGAUGGUAAAAUUUGCUUCCUUGCCUUUUCUCCUUCUAGGGAGCCUGCAUUCCCUGCCUCCUAGUGGCUUCCUCCCAUCACUCGAACCUCUGUUUCCAGCCUCAGGAUUCCUAAUGUGACUCUGACGUUUCAUCUCCUGUUUAUGAGGACGCUUCUGAUUGCUAAGAUACAUACGGUGACACUAUGGAAGUUAACUUGAAGAUUAAAACCCUGAAAAAUAGAAAGAAUCUUCUAUGGUAUAUCACAGAGAUUACAAGGGCCUGAAUUAGAGUGGUGACAUUUUCAUCCCUUGAUAAUGGAUUAAAAACAAUUGAAUGAAGCUUUGGGGUGAACUUACAGGACUUUAUGGCAAACUUCAUAUGGGAGACUUACAUGAAGGGAGGAAGAAAUGCGUAUGUGUACAAAAUCAUGUGGAUAGAUGUGCAUUUGUGGGUAUCUGUGAAUACAAAUACACAAUUUUCAGACAGAAGUAGUAUAAGAAAAGGAAAUCAAACAAAGUCAAACAUUUUAAGUGUAGCUCUUGGUGCACUUUAAAAAAUUAUUAAAUUGAAGCUGUAGUUUAUUCUCAUCAUUGUCAUCCUAUAUUAGUGAUUUUCUUUAGCUUUUGAAAUUAAAUUCAUAAUAUUACAAUUCUGAAUUCCUAUGUAUGUAUAUGUUAAGAAUCCUUUAAUGGGACUGACUUUCAUAUGUGUGUGGCUGCAUUCUGAAAUAGUUGUCUAGUUGAUACAUAAAGCAGUGAGUGCUAUUUGUAAGAUAUAUUUAUAUUUAAAGUCUUCAUACAGUUAUUAACUAGCUCCAAUAUUACUGAAAUGAUUUCUCCAAAUAUCCUAUAUUUAAUUAUCAUGCUGGCAAAUUUAUUAUAACUUUGGUUUGAAAAAAUAUAUUAUGAUACAUAUCCACUGACUAAUGCCACCUAUCUGCUUUCCUGAAUUCAAAGUUUAUGAUUAUUUCCAUAAAUGUAUUUAUCAGUAUAAUCAAAAAUAAAAAUAACAUAAAU